rnacentral:lncRNA from 1 species
AUGGUACAAAAUUACAGAGGUUUAGUUCAUUAUAUAAUACAAAUCAUUCAGUCUUUACAAUUCAUUACAGAGUCUUUGGAUUUUUUUAAACUCCCAUUUCAUGUGCAGCAAAUCAAAGAGUCACCCAAUCAAAACCACUUCUUUAUGCGUGAACCCUCGUAUUUACAGAACUCGGCACAUGGAGAUCUUCCAAGACCCCUACCCCCCAACAAAAUUCGUGUCGGCAGCCGGGCUGAAGGCUCGAUGGGCUUUUCUGAGAAAGAGACGCGUGGGGUACUGGGGCCAGGGUGUUGGGCGCCGCGUCCCGGGGAAGGCACGACAGACCCGUCCCAGAUGCGGGCCGCAGGCAGGCGCGGCUCCUGGGCCGGCGAAAUAAACACCUUGAGCUCCUGCGGGCCUCAUGCAGGGGCCUGGAGCCCAGAGGAGAAGGGGCAGGGAAGCGGCGGGGCUCGGGGCGCCCGGGCCUGUCACCCUCUCCCAGGGUCCCAGUCUCGGCCCAGGGGGCGCAGGGGUCUCCGCAAACACGCAGGGCCCUUCACCUUCACGGCUGCGCCCCCGCGGCCGGCGGGCGGGGAUCCUGGGCAGCCCCGGGGGCAAGUCCUCGAGCUGUCGCGGCCGCAGCGGCACCCGCUGGACCACGGGCCGAGGCCUCGCGCCCCCGCAGCCGCACCCGCCCCCGCAGCCGCGCCCCGGCCUGGGAGGGAGGACGGCAGGUCCCCGGCCCCCGCGGCCACACCGCCCGCCGCACCGGGGCUCCCCGGGCUGCCCCCGACGGCAGCGCACAGCCGGCGACCCCCGCACCCGCACGGGCCUGCAGGGACGCGCCCCCCUCCGGGGGCACAGCGGGGCGGGGCGGGCCGGGGCUGCAGUGCGGGCGCGGAGGGACCCCCGGGAGGCGGCCGGCGACCCCCCGCGAGCGGGGGGGGGGGGGGGCGAGCGGCUCCCUCGGGCCCACACGGCCGCAGGCUCCAGGCGCAAGUCCUACCGGGACGCGGGGUGUCGGGCGCGUCGGGGCGGGGGGGGGGCGGGGGGUCAAGCGGAAGAGCGGAGUCCGCGCCCCCAGCGCCGGCUGCAGGCCCGAGGGGGCACCGGGUCUCAACCGGAGGGCACGGAGCGCCCCUUGGCUUCAGCCCGUCCCGGGGGGGGCGCUCGGAGGCCGGUCGGGGAGUCGCCGGGGCCGGGGGCGCCGCCACGUGUAAUGAACCGAAGCUAAUUAACGUCGGGCUCCUCCGGGGGGCGCGGCGGGGCGGCCGCACACCUGGGGGCGUCCACGGCCCCACACGGCCCCACACGGCCCCACACGGCCCCACGGGGGUGGAGGGGGCUUCAAAUCCCUAGAGACCUGGAGACUUUUCGUUUUUAAAAGUCCGAACGUGAGAACUAAAAACAGGCCCCCAAGAGUGCUGGGCACCAGUCCUGGCCCAG